ACGCUGGCGGCAGGCCUAACACAUGCAAGUCGAGCGGUAGAGAGAAGCUUGCUUCUCUUGAGAGCGGCGGACGGGUGAGUAAUGCCUAGGAAUCUGCCUGGUAGUGGGGGAUAACGUUCGGAAACGGACGCUAAUACCGCAUACGUCCUACGGGAGAAAGCAGGGGACCUUCGGGCCUUGCGCUAUCAGAUGAGCCUAGGUCGGAUUAGCUAGUUGGUGGGGUAAUGGCUCACCAAGGCGACGAUCCGUAACUGGUCUGAGAGGAUGAUCAGUCACACUGGAACUGAGACACGGUCCAGACUCCUACGGGAGGCAGCAGUGGGGAAUAUUGGACAAUGGGCGAAAGCCUGAUCCAGCCAUGCCGCGUGUGUGAAGAAGGUCUUCGGAUUGUAAGGCACUUUAAGUUGGGAGGAAGGGCCAUUACCUAAUACGUGAUGGUUUUGACGUUACCGACAGAAUAAGCACCGGCUAACUCUGUGCCAGCAGCCGCGGUAAUACAGAGGGUGCAAGCGUUAAUCGGAAUUACUGGGCGUAAAGCGCGCGUAGGUGGUUUGUUAAGUUGGAUGUGAAAUCCCCGGGCUCAACCUGGGAACUGCAUUCAAAACUGACUGACUAGAGUAUGGUAGAGGGUGGUGGAAUUUCCUGUGUAGCGGUGAAAUGCGUAGAUAUAGGAAGGAACACCAGUGGCGAAGGCGACCACCUGGACUGAUACUGACACUGAGGUGCGAAAGCGUGGGGAGCAAAC
rnacentral:rRNA from 1 species